CUUCUCCUUCAAUAAGGUUUUAUAAUUGGGCCGAAAUAAAAAGAAAGAUCCCAAGCCCAAUAAAUUAAAAAUCCAGCCCUAUGUAAUUCUUGUUUUAUGAUUGUUGGCUGAAAAGGUUUUAUCAGUUGGGCCAAGAUAUAUUUUGUUACUAUAAGCCCAAAGAAAGCCUUCCUAUUUGUUCCCUGCU